rnacentral:rRNA from 1 species
AGAGUUUGAUCCUGGCUCAGGAUGAACGCUGGCGGCGUGCUUAACACAUGCAAGUCAUGGGGGCCCAGCAAUGGGCAACCGGCGAACGGGUGCGUAACACGUGAGCAACCUACCCAGGUGUGGGGGAUAGCCGUCCCAACGGACGGGUAAUACCGCAUACGCUCAACACGAGGCAUUUCGAGUUGAGGAAACCUUCGGGGCACCAUGAGGGGCUCGCGGCCUAUCAGCUAGUUGGCGAGGUAACGGCUCACCAAGGCUACGACGGGUAGCUGGUCUGAGAGGAUGACCAGCCACAUUGGGACUGAGAAACGGCCCAGACUCCUACGGGAGGCAGCAGUGGGGAAUCUUGCGCAAUGGCCUAACGGCUGACGCAGCGACGCCGCGUGAGGGAUGACGCUCUUCGGAGUGUAAACCUCUUUUGCCUGGAACGAACUGUCAGCUUCAGCUGAUUUGACGGUACCGGGUGAAUAAGCACCGGCUAACUCCGUGCCAGCAGCCGCGGUAAUACGGGGGGUGCGAGCGUUGUCCGGAAUCACUGGGCGUAAAGGGCGCGUAGGUGGCGUGAUAAGGGUGUGGUGAAAGCCCGGGGCUCAACCCCGGGUCUGCCAUGCCGACUGUCAGGCUAGAGUACUGUAGGGGCAGGCGGAGUUCCGGGUGUAGCGGUGGAAUGCGUAGAGAUCCGGAGGAAGACCGGUGGCGAAGGCGGCCUGCUGGGCAGUUACUGACACUGAGGCGCGACAGCGUGGGGAGCAAACAGGAUUAGAUACCCUGGUAGUCCACGCCGUANACGAUGGGUACUAGGUGCCUGGGGGAGCGACCCCUUGGGUGCCGGCGCUAACGCAGGAAGUACCCCGCCUGGGGAGUACGGCCGCAAGGCUGAAACUCAAAGGAAU